rnacentral:rRNA from 1 species
CAGUAGCCGCGGGAAUACGAAGGGGGCUAGCGUUGUUCGGAUUUACUGGGCGUAAAGCGCACGUAGGCGGACGCUUAAGUCAGGGGUGAAAUCCCGAGGCUCAACCUCGGAACUGCCUUUGAUACUGGGUGUCUUGAGUCCGGGAGAGGUGAGUGGAACUGCGAGUGUAGAGGUGAAAUUCGUAGAUAUUCGCAAGAACACCAGUGGCGAAGGCGGCUCACUGGCCCGGAACUGACGCUGAGGUGCGAAAGCGUGGGGAGCAAACAGGAUUAGAUACCCGCGUAGUCCCUGUCUCUUAUAA